rnacentral:rRNA from 1 species
AUGGAGAAACUUUGUGACUGUUGCAAGAGAUAUGCAGACCAUUUGGAUGAAAAGAUGAAGUGUUUCCGCAGGCACAUGGGUGCUGAUUUUAGACACGGCAUGAUCAUACCAAAGAAGUUCAUAGAUAAUUUCGGAGGAAAGAUCUCAAGAACCAUCGAACUAGAAUCUUCUAAUGGUAAUAUGUAUGUCUUUGAAGUUUCCAAGCUUAUGGGUAAUACAGUCAUCCACCGUGGAUGGCAGGCAUUUAUAGAUGAACUUCACAUAAUAGAGAAUGAUUCACUGCUGUUUCGUCACAUUGAGAAAUCCCGUUUUGAGGUUCUGGUCCUUGAUUCUGAUGAUUGCGAAAAGGUUUUUUUCUGCCCUGGCAUCAACAUUGCUUGUAAUGCUGAAGAAAGAGGUGUGGAUUCUGUUAAUAUUUCAAAUGGCUCCCGUGAUAAUGCCACAAGAUCAUCAGGAAGCAAAAGGUUUGCUACGUGUGGAAGGGGUAACUCAAGCCAUCCUAGAAAAGCAGCGAAGACAGCCUUAAAUUACUCCUCACCUGAGAAUUCAGAAGAAGGCACUGAGGACAUUCCUUCGGAACACGAAUCAUAUUUUGAGCUAGAUGAUGGCCACACACCUUCACGGCAAGAUUAUGUCUUAGCUCGGGGAAGAACUCUAUCCAGAGUACAGGAUGAGAAAGUAACUACGCUUAUCCAGGAUGUUGGAGCUGAAAUUCCUGUGUUCGUGGCUGUCAUGAAGCCGAGCUAUGUCAAGUCACAAACUUCUGCUCUUGUCAUUCCCAAAGGUUAUGCAGUUGAACACUUACCAUCUAAAAGUCAAACUGUGACACUGCAGCGCCCCGGCAAGAGCAAGAAGUGGCAUCCCAGAUUUUACAUUAGGAAAGAUACACACGGGUCCAUCCUUUGUGGGCCUGGUUGGUUAGAGUUUGUUUGCGACACCCGAGUACAGGUGGGAGAUAUCUGCAUCUUUGAAAGAAUGAAGGGCACUGGGAGAACAUUCUCACUUAGAGUACAUCUACUUCGCAAAUCAAUGCUGCAUUCCGGUGGAAGCGGAACUGGUCCUAAAAGAGUAAGCUCAACUCAUGGCAAAACAAGGGUUAAUUCAGCUACCCCUAAAAGAGCAUGCAUAACUGAUGGUAGAACCAGGGCAAAGGCAACUUCGACAACCUGUGUUAGGAAGGAACCAGGUGAUGGAGGAAAUGCGCCUUAUUCGGUUCGCAGCCAUGGUCACGAAGCACGUCAGGGACCUGUCGAGUCCGAUAAAUCAAGAGGCCCUCGGAAACGUCCCUACGUAAUAUCAUCCACUGCAUGCCUGACCAGGGAGCAGGAGAUGAAUGUCGACAAGAGAGCUCGCGCCCUUCAGUCUAAAGUUCCGAUUUACGUGUCGAUAAUGAACAAGAGCAGUGUUGGCAACAGCCUGUACACCGUAAACAUUUGCAGGGAGUAUGCUGCUGAGUAUCUCGCAGCUGGAGAGCAGACUGUGACCCUCGUGACGGCAGAGAUGAGCAAGGCAUGGGAAGUCAAGGUGCACCCCCGCGCAAAGGUUCUCACGAGAGGUUGGCACAAGUUUGCCCGCGACAAACACCUGAAAGUCCAAGACAUCUGCCUGUUCCAGCUGUUGACAGACCAGAGGAAGCUUACCAUGAUGGUCGACAUCAUUCGUCACCAUGAGAACCAGUAG